rnacentral:piRNA from 1 species
UAAAUGAACGCUUCAUUCUUAAGCCUGCAAA